rnacentral:rRNA from 1 species
AUCUGGGCGGCGGAAUUCAGGAUGGCCGGCGCGCUUUCGCGGCGCGUCGGUCGUUUGAUAUUUCCGUCGCCAACAAACCGCAGACGUCGCGACCUGUUCGCGGUCGGUCCCUGCUCGGAGGAGCCACGUUCGAGCUCGUUGUGUGCGCGUUUCGGCGCGUCACACGGCGAAGGCGUGGAUCUCUGGCUGGCCGUCGGACAGUAUGCUUAGCGGUGUCCGGUGUCGUCGUCUCGUACGCGCGGCAUCGGUACCGGUCAGCGACGAAUUCUUCGGGCCUCUUUCCGACCCGUCUUGAAACACGGACCAAGGAGUCUAACAUGCGCGCGAGUCGCGGGGUAUCGAGCGUACUUCGGUGCGCUCGUUAUGUUGCGAAACCCGUACAUGUCGAAGGCGUAAUGAAAGUGAAUGGGGAAGAUGGUGUUCCGAGUACACGUUCCGCGAUCGUCGGUAUCGCGGCCGGACACCCGCAUUCCCGGGGCGUCUCAACGGCCCGUCGCUGAUGCGGACAGUCGUCUUUCGGGGCGGCUGUCGGUCGGCGACGAACCGA